rnacentral:rRNA from 1 species
GGACUACUGGGGUAUCUAAUCCCGUUUGCUCCCCUGGCUUUCGCGCCUCAGCGUCAGUAGGUGUCCAGCACGUCGCUUUCGCCACCGGCGUUCCUUCCGAUAUCUACGCAUUUCACCGCUCCACCGGAAGUUCCACAUGCCCCUGCACCCCUCGAGACCGCCAGUAUCCGCGGCACUUCCCCGGUUGAGCCGGGGGCUUUCACCACAGACUUGACGGCCCGCCUACGCGCCCUUUAAGCCCAGUGAAUCCGAACAACGUUCGCACGGUUCGUCUUACCGCGGCUGCUGGCAC